rnacentral:lncRNA from 1 species
AAAUGUAGCUCCAGUCUUAACUAUUCAACUGUUUGUGUGGAAAAGACAUGCUUUCUCUUCAGAAGACAUAUGGCUAAAUAGAAGUGAUUAAAAUUUUAGUGUCAUACCUCUCGAAUAGCAGUACAAAACUCACUCUGAAGCACUUUUUUGAGGGAUUGUAGCUUGUGCACUGGUACUUCUCCAGAUUCCUGUAGUUUUUCCAGUAAUUCAAUUGCUCUGGCAACAUCUUAAUGCAAAGGAAUCUAUGCACAGGGAUGUGUCGAUCGUAACAGAAUGAGUAGCAUCUAUGGACAAUAACCCAGUGAUCUGUCCCCUCAAGGAUCUGUCCUUGCAGAGUAGAACUGGUG